rnacentral:lncRNA from 1 species
AUAAAAUUACAAACCAUGGGGUGCCAACUAAUUUAAAGAAGGCCAUUUGCAGAUUUCAGUCUUUGAGCUGGUCAUUUUAUUUUAUUUUAUUUUUUUUUUUUUGAGCUGGUCAUUUUAAAUGUAUAAGGGAGUAAUUAAUAAAUUUGAUCCCCAAGAUACCUUUUAGGAUUCUAGGAUUCUGAUUUUCUUUAACGUUUUUGGAGGAAAGGUGAAAAUAUUUCCCAAAGUUGUUUAAAAUGCCUGCCAAUAUAGGCAAAUAAUCUGCCUUUACUAGGGAAAGAACAGUGUUGAACUAUUUGUGUCUUCCAUGAAUAGGAAUUUCUGAUGCUCUGCCAUCUGAGGGAGUGCUGCAUUCACUCAGGAUUGAUGUUUUACAUCAAAGUUUAUCCCAACUUAGAAUUACAGAAAUUUUCCUCUGAGAUACCACCCAAACACGCAGAUUUCCUUGGAGGUUACUAUGAGGGUUAAGCACUCAGAGGAAUGGGAUUCAAUCCUUGAAGAAAAAGCACUGAUUCAAAGAGCCUAUAGAUAUUUAAUGGCCAAUCAGUAUUGCUCAGAGGGGAUCUCCUUGGCUUCAUGCAUCAACUGGGUAAGUACUCAAUAGGUUUUUAUUACGUUCCGAGCCCUGUACUCCUUUAGCCACUUCUAGAAUCCAUUU